rnacentral:tRNA from 1 species
UAAAAGUUAGUUAAAUAAAUAACCUUAGCUUGUCAAGUUAAAAUUAUAGCCAAAUACUUUU